rnacentral:sRNA from 1 species
AUGCUCUGGGCGGAGGGUGCAGGGGAGGGCACGGCGCCGCUUGCUUGGCCUGCGCACCCGGACCUAGAAGCCGGGACGAGCCGGGGGAGAGCCAGGCGCGCGGAAGUCUGAAGGUGCCCUCCAGACACGGCCCCGAUGACUGAACUACAGCAAGAUGUGGAAGACACAAAGCCUGCGAAAGUGCUCGGGAAGAGGGAGAGCAAACUUGGCUCAGCCCAACAAUCUUGAGGGCCAGCACAGCCUGAGGACUUGCUGACACAAAGUAUUGAUGGGCCAGAGGAAGUGGGCAGCCUGGCUAUCACAUCACCCCAUGUCUGCUGCUGCUCAGCUACCUCUCUCUGAAUGUCUAAAAUGAAGCGGUUUCCUUUCUUCAGCUCAGAGGCUGAGAAUGGUGUGGAGGAGAAAAAGAAAGCCUGCAGGUCGCCAACAGCCCAAUCCCCUACCCCAUCUGUGGAGGCCGAGUCCCCAGACCAGAAGAAAAUCAUUAGCCUACGGUCAAAAUCCAGUUUUGAUGGUGCCUCUUUAGCAAGUGAUAAGAACGAC